UGGGGAAUCUUCCGCAAUGGACGAAAGUCUGACGGAGCAACGCCGCGUGAGUGAUGACGGCCUUCGGGUUGUAAAGCUCUGUUAAUCGGGACGAAAGGCCUUCUUGCGAAUAGUUGGAAGGAUUGACGGUACCGGAAUAGAAAGCCACGGCUAACUACGUGCCAGCAGCCGCGGUAAUACGUAGGUGGCAAGCGUUGUCCGGAAUUAUUGGGCGUAAAGCGCGCGCAGGCGGAUCAGUCAGUCUGUCUUAAAAGUUCGGGGCUUAACCCCGUGAGGGGAUGGAAACUGCUGAUCUAGAGUAUCGGAGAGGAAAGUGGAAUUCCUAGUGUAGCGGUGAAAUGCGUAGAUAUUAGGAAGAACACCAGUGGCGAAGGCGACUUUCUGGACGAACACUGACGCUGAGGCGCGAAAGCCAGGGGAGCGAACGGGAUUAGAUACCCUGGUA
rnacentral:rRNA from 1 species